UCGCAUGGGCGAGCCUGACGGAGCAACGCCGCGUGAGUGAUGAAGGUCUUCGGAUCGUAAAACUCUGUUAUCAGGGAAGAACAAAUGUGUAAGUAACUGUGCACAUCUUGACGGUACCUGAUCAGAAAGCCACGGCUAACUACGUGCCAGCAGCCGCGGUAAUACGUAGGUGGCAAGCGUUAUCCGGAAUUAUUGGGCGUAAAGCGCGCGUAGGCGGUUUUUUAAGUCUGAUGUGAAAGCCCACGGCUCAACCGUGGAGGGUCAUUGGAAACUGGAAAACUUGAGUGCAGAAGAGGAAAGUGGAAUUCCAUGUGUAGCGGUGAAAUGCGCAAAGAUAUGGAGGAACACCAGUGGCGAAGGCGACUUUCUGGUCUGUAACUGACGCUGAUGUGCGAAAGCGUGGGGAUCAAACAGGAUUAGAUACCCUGGUAGUCCACGCCGUAAACGAUGAGUGCUAAGUGUUAGGGGGUUUCCGCCCCUUAGUGCUGCAGCUAACGCAUUAAGCACUCCGCCUGGGGAGUACGACCGCAAGGUUGAAACUCAAAUGAAAUUGACGG
rnacentral:rRNA from 1 species